ensembl:lncRNA
GUCUUGUUUUAUUUAUUUCCCACUCGAUUACAGAGAGCCUUUGAGUUCAGCCACAGAGACACAGAAACACAGUGGAAGCGGCUGUCAUACAGACACAGCUCCUGUACCAAGAAAAUCUUUGAAUAAUAAUCAUGUAAACUCAAACAUGGAGACACGAUUACUGAUGUUUUUGUAGAACUCUUCACAAUAAAUAAACCUGAUUUAUUUCUCAACAUCAUCUGAGUCUUCAUACAUAUCCACCAACAUCGUUCCUUAUAGCCAUCAUUCUCAAUACAUUAGCUCCUCCCACAUGUGGCGUCAAACUCAGGAACAUGUUUUUGACAGACGACGAGCAGUGAAUUUGGCAAAAGAGGGGCGGGGCAUGUGAAUCAUCAUGUUGGUGUUUCUUCUCAUUUCUCCUGCUGUUUUCAUGUUUUCAAUUCUUUGUUUUAAAUGUAAAGUUUUUAAAUACCUUAAUUUCCUUUUUCCAGUUAAAGUUUUUAAAAAAUGCAGUUUAGUCGAAUAAAAUAAAGUGAUAAUCUGGAAUAUAAUCUGAGAGUCAUCCUUCAGAUCAGUUUUAAACUUUUAAGUUUGUUUGUCAUGAAGGAGGACUUCCCCUCUGCAGGUCCAGAACCUUCAGGAGGUUCUGAGGAGAGCAGAGACGGUGAGAUCUUCACGGUUGGAGUCCUGUGUGGACUUGUUUGUUGAAGCGGCGUCGGAAGUGGAGGGAACCACCACUCACUUCCUGUCUCAGGGGUUUUGGGUGAGAGGGACAGUUCCUCAGCUGCAGACGAGCUGCUGCCGCAGACGAGAUGCAGUUCACGUCUGUUCACAUGCUGGGAUGGAGACAUGCAAACUCUACUUUCUGCUGCUUCUUCUCACCAACGCUGAAGGAUUUCGAGAACGGCUCCAGAAGAUCCUUCAUCAUCAGCCGGAUGUGAUUCCAGUUUGCAGAAACGAUUCGAGUAACGUCAUCCUACUGAUAGUCUGCUUGAUCCACACUGAGGGGGGGUUCUGCCGCCUGACCUUCAGACCUGGACGCACCUCUGACCCUGAAUGUGGCUCCAAGGUCCAGAUGAUGGUGGAGAAGCAGACGGUGUUCCUGCAGCUGAGCUCUCUGGGAGCAGAGGACAGCGGGAACAGCAGCUGUCAGUGUUCUCGUGCUGAAGGAGUCACCAUCGUGGAGCUGAACAUCACCGUGGUUACCACAGGUCAGGAGGCUCCUCCCAAACAUUCUGACGCCUCCACACCGCCUCACCAAGAACCGUCUUUUUUCUCUUCAGGGAAUAGAACCGUCGACUCGUUUCCAUCUAAAUUCCAACUAACUAUUUUUCUCGUGGUGCUGGUUCUGGUUCUGGUGCUGGCUUCAGGAGUGCUGCUGUUUCUACAGAUGAUCGUCACUCAGAAAAGGUAGGAGUCCUUCCUCUGAGCUGCUCCUCAGGUGUUCGGUUUGAAAGCUCUGCUUCACCUGCGUUUCUCCUCUGAAGGAGGGAGAACGUCCGUCUGGAGCUGCCUUUGCAGCGUUCACCCAGCAGGAGGCGACAGAGACCCAACAGCGGCCCUCCGCAGACGGUACAGAAUCGGUCCAAACGCGUCUUUCAGAGCCUCCAUCACAGGUUCAAACCCACCUGUUUUCUCUCAGGUGGUGGAGGACGUUGAGCCGUACGACGAGUUCCAGCAGAAGGAGAACGUUCUGUAUUCAUCCUCCAGAGCCCACAGUUGCAGCACCAUCAGCGAUGUUCUCACCUGAAGCCGUACAUCACAUUCAGAGAACUUUCUCUGUUUCUGUUUGAAUGACAGAAUCAUUCCUCGAGGAGAAGGUGUCUCUGAUUCUACUGCUUGACCUUCUUUGUUUAAAGCUGCAGCUUCAGACAGGAAGUCAGCUGCUCCAUCUGACUUCCUGUCUGAACUUCCUGAUCUCACGGCUGCAUCACUUUCUCCUCUUUCACUUCUUGAAGCUAAUCUUUGAAGUGGGUGUACCCCUCAGAGGAUUCGCGUGUUUUGACUAGGGCUGCCACAAACGAUUAUUUUAAUAGUCGACUAAUCAUUGAUUAAUAUUUCCGAUUAGUCGACUAAUCGGAUCAUGGACAAAGUGGAUGUAAAGAAAAUCUGAAAUAUGAUUAGCUUUAAAACCAAAAAAUCCUAAAUAAGCUAAAAUCGCUAGCAUAUAGCUGAAAUAUUAGCUAAACUCCAAAUUAGUCUAAAAAACUGUAAAAAUUACAAAUUAGCCAAAAUAGCUAGCAUGUAGCUGAAGACAUAGCAAAACUCCAAAUUAGCCUAAAAAACUGUAAAAAUCCCAAAUUAGCCAAAAUAGCUAACAUAUAGCUGAAAUAUUAGCUAAACUCCAAAUUAGCCUAAAAAACUGUAAACAUUUAGAAUUAGCUAGCUAACAUGUAAAUGAAAUAUUAGCUAAACUCCUAAUUAGCCUAAAAAACUGUAAAAAAAAAAAUCCCAAAUUAGCUAAAAUAGUGUAAUAUUAGCUAAACUCCAAAUUAGCCUAAAAAACUGUAAACAUUUAGAAUUAGCUAGCUAACAUGUAAAUGAAAUAUUAGCUAAACUCCAAAUUUGCCUACAAAACUGAAAAAAUCCUAAAUUAGCCAAAAGAGCUAAUAUGUAGCUGAAAUAUUAUCUUAAUUCCAAAUUAGCCUAAAAAACUGAAAAAGCCUAAGUUAGCCAAAAUAGCAAAAUAGCUAGCAUGAAGCUAAAAUAUUAGCUAAACUCACUCCAAAAUAGCCUGAAAACCCUUAAUAAAUGCCAAAAUAGUCUAAAAAGCUAGCAGAAUGUCAUUAUAACUUUCAACUUUACUACAGCCUAACUCCAUAUAUUAUAAAGUAACGACUAAUCGACUAUUAAAUUAGUUGUCGACUAUUUUAAUAGUCGAUUAGUCAUCGAUUCGUCGACUAAUCGUGGCAGCCCUAGCUUUGACUAAAGUCAGAGUUUGGUUAAGGCCCGAUCCGAACUCUUCCUCCAUGCUCCUCCAUUCGAGGAGGCUUGUUAAGUGCAAGUGGUGUCCAAAAUAGUUAUUUGAACAUUCUCCCCUCCAGGCAGAGGGGUACAGAACCCCCCUCGCGAGGGGGUUCCACGCCGCGCUACGCCGGCGACUGUUAGUGACAUCAUCAAGUGGAAAUCUGAGACACUAUUUGUCCAUGACUCUGUUUGGAGGAGAAUGGAAGAAUUAUUUCUCUUCAUCACUGACAAACUUUAGGUAAAUACAAGAUUUUAAAUGUAUUUAUUUCAUUACUUACAGCCAUCUAAAGCUGUUUUUAAAUGUCUCGGUGGAUUUGCACCUCAACCACUCUCUACACUUGUGAAAAGACUAGAAACUUCCAGACCAACAACAGCUGCUGCAAAUGGAGACUGCAAAGUCCCGAUUCAUCGAACAUCUUUUUACAAAAUAUAUUUUCAGUGAAAGGAGUCGAUCUAAAAAAAACUGACUAAAGUGUCCAUCUUUAAAAAGCAAAUUACAUUCUAGUUCUCAGAGAAACACAUUGUGUAAAAUCUGUUUUCUGGCUUUGUGAAGUGUGUAGUAGGAGUAUGGUUGAAUACAUUUUCUACUUGUUUUUUAUGGUUAUCAAUGAAUUUCUACAGUUUUUUGUGUUUUACUCUUUGUAUUUUCUUUUCACUGUUUAACUUUUUUCAGUAGAAAUCUCCACUGGGUUCAGCUGUCGAGUCACAAACAGAGUCUGGCAUACAUGCA